rnacentral:lncRNA from 10 species
AGGCCCGGAAACGGAUCGCGUUGGGUGAAGGUGACGGCGUCGAGCGUGUCCAAAAGUGACUUCCUGACUCCCUAGAUGCAUUCCCCUGCAGUCCUGCACAUCUCAGAUGAGCGGGACCAUGUAUUUCGUGGGACUUUCAAAUAUAUAAGAUUUUACAUUCAUUGACUUCCAAAGACUCCUGGCACAUGAGGAAGAAACCCAGAAGAGGAGAGCAAAGGAGUCAGGAAUGGCUUUUACUCAGUUGACAUUCAGGGACGUGGCCAUCGAAUUCUCUCAAGAUGAGUGGAAAUGCCUGAACUCUACACAGAGGACUUUAUACAGGGAUGUGAUGUUGGAGAACUACAGGAACCUGGUCUCCCUGGAGUAUUAUCCUAUGUGGGAGCACAGGAAAGAGCCCUGGACCAUAGAAAGCCAAGUACGAGUAGCAAGAAAACCAAAAGGGUGGGAAUGGAUCAAAGGUGUGAAAACAGAUGGAGUUUCGCUCUUAUUGCCCAGGCUGGAGUGCAAUGGUGCAAUCUCGGCUCACUGCAACCUUCGCCUCCCGG